rnacentral:tRNA from 1 species
GCGGGGUUAGCUCAGUUGGUUAGAGCAUGGUGCUAAUAACGCCAAGGUCACAGGUUCAAUCCCUGCUUACUGCA